rnacentral:lncRNA from 1 species
GUGGUCGAGAGGAAUUCUGUGAUGACACCUGCUGGCACAAAGUGAUACUGCAGCCCAGUUCAGGGAGGAAUUGGAAAUUUGCAGAAUAAGAGGUUCAGGGUGGCUGUUAAGCCACAGAGCAAAGAGAGACUUAGAAGGCCAAGGCAAGGAGGCUGGCCUGAGUGUGGAAGUUGAGAACAGAGAUUUGGGUUCAAAUUCCAUCUUCACUACUUACUGGCCGGGUGACCUUUGGACUUAGUUUCCGAGCCUUAGUUUCUUCUUCAAUAGAAUGAGGAUCCUGGGGCCCUCACCUUACAGAUGUCUGGUGAGACUUGAGAAGAGCAUUCACUCCUUUGAUUAUUUAUUGAAUUAACAUUAAGCACCUAUGAUGCAUCUUAUCUAGGCGCUGAGGGUACACCAAGACCUGGGUCCUGCCCUCAGGGAGUCUAGUUGGGGGAAUACUAUAAAACACACACAUGCACCCGUGUGCGUGCGUGCGUAGGAGACUUUCAGGCAUUGAUAACACUGUAAGGGAAAAUAAAGCAGGAGAUGGAUCUGUGUGGGUAGAGGCAUUAUUACAAAUAAGGUGCUUGGUGGGGGUUUGAGCAGUGGAUUGAGGGAGAGGCAUCUCGUGUAUACAGAAGACAUUACAAAGUGCCAGUGGAGGAGUUCCUAUCAUGGUUCACUCAGUGGUUAACAAAACUGACUACUAUCCAUGAGGACUUGGGUUCCAUCCCCGACCUUGCUCAGUGAGUUAAGGAUCCAGCAUUGCUGUGAGCUGUGGUGUAGGCUGGUGGCUACAGCUCCAAUUGGACCCCUAGCCUGGGAACCUCCAUAUGCCACGGGAGCAGCUCUAGAAAAGACAACAAAACAAAACAAAACAACAACAACAAAAAAACAGAAGAUGAAAUACAGGGAAUUGCUUAUACAGAUGAUAGAAGAGCCUAGAAGCCAAAACGGCAGGAUGAGGCACCCAGGAUGAGCUACAGCUGGGGGCCAGAGGGACAGAAGGAGGAUGUAGUAUCACUGGAUCCAAGAAGCCAGAGUUGGAACCAUGGUGGGGACUGCCUGGUGGGAAAUGGGACCAGGAAGGAAGGGCCUGUUGGGGAGGGACUGGUCCUCUUUGCCCUCAGAUCCCUGUUCAGCCCUUCCCCUGUUCUGCUCUGAGUUACAGAGGGGCUGGUCUGUGGAGGCUGCAUGUCCCAGGCUCCAGGUCAGCUGACUUCCCAUUGGCACAUGGGGGCUCCUGGUGGGAGAUUGGAGGAUUGAGGAAGGGAGGAGCCAGAGUAUUUUUCCCUUUCUCCUUAUACCUUGGGCUGCAUCUCCAUCAACAACUGAGACUCUCCAUGGUUCCAGAUCCUGCAGGACAGUCUACUGUGUUUCCAGCUUUGCUGAGUGACCACAGGCCCCAGGCUGCUAUAAUGUGACCUCCUCCCUUGAUCCUUCCAGCCUAGAGGUGGCAAUGGCUUUGUGAUGCUGUGGAUUCUGAAUUUCUUCACAAUUUCUUGGUAGCUUCUGGACUCAUUAUCAUCUUUCUAACUAAUUCCCUGUUGGAAAGUCUCUCUAUUUAAAUGCUCAGUGGUUUCCUUUCAUAAUAUGAGUGGUUUUCCUUCCUGAUACGAGAACUGACUAGCAAGUGGCCAGCCCAGCAGGCCUUUCCAGCCUUUUCCCCCUUCUUACAGAUAAGAACCUGGCAAACUACAGAUGGGAGAGGCAGCUGGAUGCUGGAGAUCAAGGGGCAGCCUGAGAAUCAGACAGGCCUUGUCUUGUCCUAAUUCUGUCACUUGCCAGCUCGGUAAACUUCAAGUCACUUUUUGUCUGAGGCCUCAGUUUCUCACCUGUCAUGUGAGCAUAAUGGUUGUACCCAUUGACACAAGACUGUUUUGAGGAUUUGAUGAGAUGUGGCCUGGGAAGAACUUAGCCACAACCUGCAAGAAAGAAUAGUAAAGAGGAGAAUUCCCCAUCAGCAGUUAAAAGACAUAGGCCAUUAUAACAGAAACAGCGGGGGUGCCGAUGCAGGGAGAAACAGACCGAUGGGGCAGAGUGGUGACUGCAGAGCAUCUGGAUGCAUGAGGACCAAAGACGCAAUAAAGACAGCCCCACGACCCAGUGGAGGAGAGACCAUUCAAAUGAUGGUGUUGGGAAUGUAGCCGUAAAUAAAACUAAAUCUUUAACUCACACUGAAAACAAAGGUAGAUUCUAGCUGGACUUAACAUGGAGUGCAAAAUACAAAAUUAAUAGAAGUUGUAUACGCACAGAAUAGAAUACUAUUCAGCAGUAAAAAGGAAUGAAAAUUUGUCCUAUGCUACAAUGUGGGUGGACCUUGAAAACAAGACGCUAAGGGGAAAAAGCCAGUCACAAAAGAAAAAAUAUCGUAUGAUUUCACUUAUACCUAGAGUAGUCAAAUUCAUAGAGACAGAAAGCAGAUUAAAGAUUUCCAGCGGGGAGUUCCCAUCGUGGUGCAGUGGAAACGAAUCCGACUAGGAACCAUUGGUUGCAGGUUCGAUCCCUGGCCUCGCUCAGUGAGUUAAGGAUCUGGCAUUGCUGUGGCUGUGGCUGUGGCUGGCAGUUGCAGCUCCUAUUUGAACCCUAGCCCAGGAACUUCUAUAUGCUGUGGGUGUGGCCAUUAAAAAAAAAAAAAGAAAAAAA